GGAAACGUCGCGGGGAGAGAGAAGGGAAGCGGCGCGAAGGCCGGGGAGAAGCAAUGGAGUGCUCUGCCGUGGAGGCGAUUGAGCAAACCGUGCGGUGCAACAGAACUCCGGGGGUGACGCCAGCGAUCAUUGCGCUACUCCGUCAGGGCGGCGUAGGCGCGGGUAGACCGGUAGUUGAGAUUUGGCGGAAAGCGGGCGUCGCCAUGCGGAAGAGGGGAUAGAAGCGACCGGUUAAACGGCGCUAGGAUCGAGGGCGCACAGGUGGGAGAACAAGCGGACGCGGCGCGGGGGAGAGCGCGGAACAACAGAUUGUCGGGCGGCGUCUGACAGGGCGGGGAAAGGAACUGUCGCGGCCGCGGUCGGGGUUGGCGGUGGGGGAAUCGUCGUGUAGC
rnacentral:lncRNA from 1 species